GUUUUUCCCUUCCCUCGUUGGAGUCGUGUCUGUCAUUGCAGUCACUGUCUGGAGGUUGAAACCUUCAAAAGAAUGUGGUCCUUUCCGAGGUCUGCCUUCUAUAUACACAGCAAUUUCUGAGUGGGUAAAAAUACUGGAAAAUUACAUUGAUUCCAGAUGGGUAGCAUGGAUCUACUACAACUUAAUUACAAGUGAACUUUUCUUCUUCAUCCUCUCCGUCAUUAUCCUAGUUAUUACUUACCUUUACUGGCAAAUAGUAAGAGGAAGAAGAACCAUGGCCAAGCUCUUAUGUGAGCAAAUUGUUAAUAGAAGUUCUUCUUUAGCUCGCUCAUCCAUGCCACCUGCCCAGCAAGAACCAAACUACCCAGAAAGGACAUUUGACAGAAAUCAAAAUGCAUCCUACAAUGAGUAUCCUUAUUCUGCUGGGAUCUCGAGGGGGGCUGGCUUCCCAUCUGAUUGGGAAACAUCCCAGCCAAGCAGCAGCUCAGGGAUGUCUGAGGCAGUGGCACUCGCUCUGCGUGCGAGGCAAGCAGCUCAGUGGGAAGAUCUAAAUGACAGCAUCGAUUUUCGACCAUGAGCAGGCAGUCAGCAAUGGAUGCUGAGUAACCCAUGGAUGUUCUGCAGAAGGCAAUACUGAUUCACACGACUGAAAGAACCACUGAUUUUUUUUUUCCCCUCUCGUGGAAGAGAAAACAGAGGUUGCAAAAUGCGAUCUGAGCCAACUGAGCAUUGGUCAAAUACAGAGAAAAUAAAAUGAAAGCACAGUUGUUUUUAAUGACUGUG
rnacentral:lncRNA from 1 species